rnacentral:rRNA from 1 species
GCCUAACACAUGCAAGUCGAACGGUAACAGAAAGCAGCUUGCUGCUUUGCUGACGAGUGGCGGACGGGUGAGUAAUGUCUGGGAAACUGCCUGAUGGAGGGGGAUAACUACUGGAAACGGUAGCUAAUACCGCAUAACGUCGCAAGACCAAAGAGGGGGACCUUAGGGCCUCUUGCCAUCGGAUGUGCCCAGAUGGGAUUAGCUAGUAGGUGGGGUAACGGCUCACCUAGGCGACGAUCCCUAGCUGGUCUGAGAGGAUGACCAGCCACACUGGAACUGAGACACGGUCCAGACUCCUACGGGAGGCAGCAGUGGGGAAUAUUGCACAAUGGGCGCAAGCCUGAUGCAGCCAUGCCGCGUGUAUGAAGAAGGCCUUCGGGUUGUAAAGUACUUUCAGCGGGGAGGAAGGGAGUAAAGUUAAUACCUUUGCUCAUUGACGUUACCCGCAGAAGAAGCACCGGCUAACUCCGUGCCAGCAGCCGCGGUAAUACGGAGGGUGCAAGCGUUAAUCGGAAUUACUGGGCGUAAAGCGCACGCAGGCGGUUUGUUAAGUCAGAUGUGAAAUCCCCGGGCUCAACCUGGGAACUGCAUCUGAUACUGGCAGGCUUGAGUCUCGUAGAGGGGGGUAGAAUUCCAGGUGUAGCGGUGAAAUGCGUAGAGAUCUGGAGGAAUACCGGUGGCGA